rnacentral:rRNA from 1 species
GACGUAGGGCGCGAGCGUUGUCCGGAUUUAUUGGGCGUAAAGAGCUCGUAGGCGGCUUGUCGCGUCGACUGUGAAAACCCGCGGCUCAACCGCGGGCCUGCAGUCGAUACGGGCAGGCUAGAGUUCGGUAGGGGAGACUGGAAUUCCUGGUGUAGCGGUGAAAUGCGCAGAUAUCAGGAGGAACACCAAUGGCGAAGGCAGCUCGCUGGGACGGUACUGACGCUGAGACGCGAAAGCGUGGGGAGCAAACAGG